AGCCCACCUGACCCACUCUCAUUUAUGUAUUUGCCUGUUACCUGUCUCCCGCCUUGGAAAUGUAAGUUCUGCUUACCAUCGCGUCCCCAGUGGGAUUGGAACAGUGACUGUCACAUAGUAGGUGCUCAGUUAAGUAUUCGUUGGAAGGAAGAAAGCACAAAUAAAUGCCCACCACACAGACCCAGAGCUCAUGCCAGCUGGUGGUCUGGCUUCCCCUUCUCUACCCAAAUCAGAUCCUGGUGAGCUGGGAUCCCGUUCACCUGUGUUCAAGAGAAGCAAGGGAAUUCGAUUUUUUAAAUGCAAAACCGGAUUUUUCAGGUGUUGGCCAUUAAGGGCUAAAGUAUAUAAAUACACGCGGCCACGUGAAGCCUGUCUGAAGCCCCUCCCUGCUUCCAGUCCCACCUCCGAGGCCGACAGGAAGUGACUCCGCGAACGGGUCUUGUCAUGGUGAUAACGGAGCAGGGCGGCCGGCGGGCGCUCGCUCUCUGUGAUCAGGUCCUGAUCUCCAGUUUUAUGGCUCAGCUCGUCCUCCGCGCCAGUCCCACCGCUGUGUGGCCUCACACCAGAGACUUGACCUCGGCCAACUUCCAUUUCCUCGUCUAUAAGUGGGUGUGAUGAACCCAGUUUGCAGCGGGUCGUCAGGAUUGCUGGCAUCUUUUGCGAAUGGCCCGCGUCUGACACGAGGAGUGACAGACGGUAUGUUUGAUGGAUAACAGUUCUUAGUGUCCUUGCCUCUCGGCACCACUCCUCGCGCCCAAGCAGGUGUUGAGAGCGGGGCCACUGUCUGCUGGUAGGUGUUUGCCGUGCAUGGACCACUGGCCACCCCCAUUCACAAGAGAGAGCACAGAGCCUGCAGGGGAGGGGGCGGCGUGCUGGCCCUCGCCUCUGUCCACCCACUCAACAAACAGGACUGAGCCCUUUUGUGGGCCAGGUGCUGCCCAGGUGCUGGGGACACAACAGUGACCAAGAGGCGGAGACUCCAGAAGGGGAAGACUGAGAAUAAACAAAGCUGGACACGGAACGUGGCCUUAAAGAAGCUCCCUCCGUGCAGUCACAUCUCCACGCAGGACUGCUAUGGCACACAGUGCCGUGUCCCCUCCGUCUCUGAUUCACUUUGCAGUAGAUGGAGAAACAGAUCGGGGAGAUGAGGUCACGCGUCCAACGUUCUGCACCACUUCCGUGACCACAUCUGGAUUCACAGUCCUGUUUUUCUGACCCCGUGGAAGAUUCACACCAGACCACUGGAUUUGUCUUUCGUCUCACUAGGUUCUCACACACUCAGUUCCCCCAAAUAACCUCCCUUGUACCCACUUAAUUCUCAUUCACUGUCUCAGAAGACACCACUCUUAUGAGAUCUCAACAACCUUCCCUUCCCUGAGCCCCUGCAGACAGAUCCAGCUCCACAGGCGUGUGACCUGGGCGGGUGCACAGAGCCCCAGGCUCGCAAGGGCCCCAGUGGUGCUUUAAUGCUCUGCCAUCACCGUCUCGAAAUUCUUCACGACUUGAACUUGAGUUUGUACGUGAAGUCAGAUAGGACAACGGACCGUGCGUGUGAGCAGAGGAGAUCCAUGCGACACGUGUGCCCGAAGCUCCUUCCCAGCCCGUCACCUACGGCGUCCGUGUUACCGCACGGUGGCUCAGGACGCAGGAGAGCUCGGGAGCUCCCAUGUGAGUGCAGGCGUCCCACUGUUUGAAAAUAGACUGUUAUUCAUCCAUUCUCCUGUGGAUGGCCAUGUGGGUUGUUUCCAUUUUUUUGUCUAUUAUGGACCAAACCGCUAUGAAGAAUCACGCACUCAUUGCUCUUGGACCCACCAACGAUGCCCACAACGGGUGCUCUGGUCUUCUGGUAUCAGCCACGAUAGUCAGAAGGUGACUGAUACAUCUCAACCUGGAAAUCAUUAUGCUAAAUGAAAGAAACCGGUCACAAAAACCACAUAUGGCAUGAUUCCAUUUAUAUGAAAUACCCCAAAAAGGCAAAACUGCGUAUGGAAAGUGGAUAGCAGUCUGUUAGGUGGGUAGGUUGGGGGAAUGGGAGUGAGCCGGGAAGGGGUAUGGGGUUUCUGGAAGCAUGCUGAGCUUGUUCUAAAAGGGAUUGUGGUGAAGUUGUGAAUAUACUAGAAGCUACUGAAUUGUGCACUUUAAAUGCGUGAA